ACUCAAAGGAAUUGACGGGGACCCGCACAAGCGGUGGAGUAUGUGGUUUAAUUCGACGCAACGCGAAGAACCUUACCAACCUUUGACAUGGGAAGUAUGAGUCUAAGAGAUUAGAUUCUUCAGUUCGGCUGGCUUCCACACAGGUGCUGCAUGGCUGUCGUCAGCUCGUGUCGUGAGAUGUUGGGUUAAGUCCCGCAACGAGCGCAACCCUCAUCUUCAGUUGCCAUCAGGUCAAGCUGGGUACUCUGGAGAAACCGCCAGUGAUAAGCUGGAGGAAGGUGGGGAUGACGUCAAGUCCUCAUGGUCCUUACAUGUUGGGCUACACACGUACUACAAUGGUGGUGACAAUGGGUCGCAAAGCCGCAAGGUAGAGCCAAUCCUAAAAAGCCAUCUCAGUUCAGAUUGCACUCUGCAACUCGAGUGCAUGAAGUUGGAAUCGCUAGUAAUCGCAGAUCAGCACGCUGCGGUGAAUACGUUCCCGGGUCUUGUACACACCGCCCGU
rnacentral:rRNA from 1 species